CAGUAGCCGCGGGAAUACGGAGGGUGCAAGCGUUACUCGGAAUCACUGGGCGUAAAGGACGCGUAGGCGGAUUAUCAAGUCUCUUGUGAAAUCUAACGGCUUAACCGUUAAACUGCUUGGGAAACUGAUAACCUAGAGUAAGGGAGAGGCAGAUGGAAUUCUUGGUGCAGGGGUAAAAUCCGUAGAUAUCAAGAAGAAUACCUAUUGCGAAGGCGAUCUGCUGGAACUUAACUGACGCUAAUGCGUGAAAGCGUGGGGAGCAAACAGGAUUAGAUACCCCCGUAGUCCCUGUCUCUUAUAC
rnacentral:rRNA from 1 species